UGGGGAAUAUUGCACAAUGGGCGCAAGCCUGAUGCAGCCAUGCCGCGUGUAUGAAGAAGGCCUUCGGGUUGUAAAGUACUUUCAGCGGGGAGGAAGGCGUUAAGGUUAAUAACCUUGGCGAUUGACGUUACCCGCAGAAGAAGCACCGGCUAACUCCGUGCCAGCAGCCGCGGUAAUACGGAGGGUGCAAGCGUUAAUCGGAAUUACUGGGCGUAGAGCGCACGCAGGCGGUCUGUCAAGUCGGAUGUGAAAUCCCCGGGCUCAACCUGGGAACUGCAUUCGAAACUGGCAGGCUAGAGUCUUGUAGAGGGGGGUAGAAUUCCAGGUGUAGCGGUGAAAUGCGUAGAGAUCUGGAGGAAUACCGGUGGCGAAGGCGGCCCCCUGGACAAAGACUGACGCUCAGGUGCGAAAGCGUGGGGAGCAAACAGG
rnacentral:rRNA from 1 species